rnacentral:sRNA from 1 species
UUUUUUUUGUCUCAUUUUAUUUAAAAUUGAUCAAAAUGUGCUAGUUCAAAUAUUAGCUAUAUUUGAAUAAUUGUUGUAGACAUAUUUAGUUAUUAAUUUUAGUGUAUGUGCAUACGUGUUUUAUUCUGUCACAUCAUAUAGUUAAUCAUGAAUAUCUGAUAUUGCUUGAUAUCUAGACAUUACAAAUAUUAUUAUAUUUUAGCAAUGACUAUUGAUUGUUUUCAACAAUGUACAAUUCAUAACCUUAAAGGUACGUUGCGCACAUUAUACAGUCACUGAUUUUUUAAAUCAUUAUUUGAUGAACAAUAUUUUAAAUGAACAAUAAAAGGGACUAG